UACGUAGGGGGCAAGCGUUGUCCGGAAUCAUUGGGCGUAAAGCGCGUGUAGGCGGCCCGGUAAGUCCGCUGUGAAAGUCGGGGGCUCAACCUCGGAUGCCCGGUGGAUACUGGUCGGGCUAGAGUGCGGGAGAGGCGAGUGGAAUUCCUGGUGUAGCGGUGAAAUGCGCAGAUAUCAGGAGGAACACCAAUUGCGAAGGCAGCUCGCUGGAACGUUACUGACGCU
rnacentral:rRNA from 1 species